AGAAAAUAGAUACCCGGGUAGUCCACGCUGUAAACGAUGGGUACUAGGCUUGGUGGGUCUUGACCCCUGCCGAGCCGGAGCUAAACGCAAAUAAGUACCCCGCCUGGGAAGUACGGUCGCAAGACUAAAACCCAAAGGAAUUGACGGGGCCCGCACAAGCGGUGGAUCAUGUGGUUUAAUUCGAAGCAAACGCGAAGAACCUUACCUGGGUUUGACAUCUCCGGACCUCUGCAGAAAUGCAGCUUCGUAGCAAUACGACCGGAAGACAGGUGCUGCAUGGCUGUCGUCAGCUCGUGUGGUGACAUGUUGGGUUAAGUCCCGCAACGAGCGCAACCCUUGUCUUUAGUUGCCAGCAUUCAGUUGGGCACUCUAAAGAGACUGCCGUGGUGAACACGGAGGAAGGUGGGGAUGACGUCAAGUCCUCAUGGCCUUUAUAUCCAGGGCGACACACGUGAUACAAUGGACGGUACAGAGGGAAGCGAAAGGGUGACCUGGAGCCAAUCUCAAAAAAGCCGUUCUCAGUUCGGAUUGGAGUCUGCAACUCGAC
rnacentral:rRNA from 1 species